CUACGGGGUGCUGCAGUGGGGAAUAUUGGACAAUGGGGGAGACCCUGAUCCAGCAAUGCCGCGUGUGUGAAGAAGGCCUGCGGGUUGUAAAGCACUUUCGGUUGGGAGGACUGCUUCUAGCACUAAUAUUGUUGGAAGUUGACGUUACCUUCAGAAGAAGCACCGGCUAACUCCGUGCCAGCAGCCGCGGUAAUACGGAGGGUGCAAGCGUUAAUCGGAAUUACUGGGCGUAAAGCGCGCGUAGGCGGCUAGAUCAGUCGGGUGUGAAAGCCCCGGGCUUAACCUGGGAACUGCAUCCGAUACUGUCUAGCUUGAGUACAGGAGAGGAGAGUGGAAUUCCACAUGUAGCGGUGAAAUGCGUAGAUAUGUGGAGGAACACCAAUGGCGAAGGCAGCUCUCUGGCCUGAUACUGACGCUGAGGUGCGAAAGCGUGGGGGGCAAACAGGAUUAGAUACCCCCGUAGUC
rnacentral:rRNA from 1 species